UACAGAGGUCUCGAGCGUUAGGCGGAAUCACUGGGCUUAAAGCGUGUGUAGGCGGAUCGGUAAGUACCUUGUGAAAUCCCACAGCUUAACUGUGGAACUGCUUGGUAUACUGCCAGUCUUGAGCCAGCUAGGGGCGAGCGGAACAAAUGGUGGAGCGGUGAAAUGCGUAGAUAUCAUUUGGAACGCCAAUGGUGAAAACAGCUCGCUGGGGAUGUACUGACGCUGAGACACGAAAGCCAGGGGAGCAAACGGG
rnacentral:rRNA from 1 species